AGUUAAUUUCGGUUUGCCAGAAGCUCUAAAAGAUGACCUAUCGUUCGACAAAGAAACAUUGACAGUGUUUUAUUUUUUACUAUUUACGAAUAAUUCAAGUAGCCGGGAUUAGCUGCACAACAUAAAGCGACUAACUGCUAUAACAGCUUUAAAAUUUAUAACUUUUACAUGAUUUUGCAAGACUAAGGUUGGUAUGGCACUUAUCAUGUUAUAUAAUACAAUUUCAAAAUUCCUUUAUAAUCCUUAGGGAAACUGUUUUCCUGUCAAUUAGGUAUGUCGCAAAUGCUAAUUUGUUAAUCCCUGGAAGAAAAGGACUAUUGUGCGUGUUAGUAAAACAAUAUCCCGUUGUGCAUGUUGUUUUUGUAUUGUUGUGGCUUUUGUUUAUAUAAACGAUAAACUUCCUUUAUAAAAGGAAAAUAUUGUUGUACAGUAGUUUUAUUCACCAAAUCAUUUCCUUCAAGUAAGUUAAACAUAUUUUUUUUACUAUGGCUUUUAAAUAAAUAUUUGAUUUGUAUAUGUACAACAUUGCAUCUUAAAAGUAAAUCAAAUGAGUUAUGAGUACAUGUAUAGAUGUAUAAAUAUUACAUACAAAUUGUUCGCUGUUAUGGUGAGGUUUCAUAAAAGAAUAUGUUUUGUAAAAAAAAAAAAAAGAUGCAUAUGUAUUUGUGUACUUAGUAUUAUUUUUUACACAUUACUGAAAAUAUUAAAAUAUAAUCUCAGAAUAUAAAGAGCUAGUAUAAUAACUACUUUAGUAACUGGGUCACAAUUUAGAAUAGGUUUCUUCAGAAUAUACGUUUAGCCUUCCUCUCCUUAGCUCCUUGAUAUCAGGGCUUCCAUUCAAGGGUCUGCAGUCUUAUGACAUGUGAAGGUUAAUAAUGUACAACAAAAGGAAAUUUAUAGCACAACUCUUUGGGAAUAUUUAUCACACUCGAUUUACUUAGUUUCUAUUAUGUUUUCAGCUGUAGGCAUUAAAGCAUAUUAAAUUUAAUUAUCAUGCUUGUUCACUAUUGUUUAAUGUCUUUCAGAUAUUUGUGUACUUAACCAAACUUGAAAAAAUACAAGAGAAGAAAACAUG
rnacentral:sRNA from 1 species